rnacentral:piRNA from 1 species
UAAACACUGUAAGAUCACAGCAAGAUGGGU